AGCAGCUCCGAUUCUCAUUACCUAAGGAAUCCGUCUAUGGUGUGAGAACAGGGUAUGAGGGGAAACGCUCAUACCUCCCGUGUUUGGAAAGGA
rnacentral:ncRNA from 1 species